rnacentral:rRNA from 1 species
CGGGGCUUAAAGUCUUGUAAUUGGAAUGAUGGGAAUAUAAACCUCUUCCAGAGUAUCAAUUGGAGGGCAAGUCUGGUGCCAGCAGCCGCGGUAAUUCCAGCUCCAAUAGCGUAUAUUAAAAUUGUUGCAGUUAAAAAGCUCGUAGUUGAAUUUCUGCUGCAUUGCUUGUGUCCCUCUGGGGUCUGUGCAUGUGGCUUUUUUCGGACGGAGUUUCUUUGUCUGAAUGUUUACUUUGAGAAAAUUAGAGUGCUCAAAGCAGGCUUUCGCCUUGAAUAGUUUAGCAUGGAAUAAUAAAGUAGGACUUUGGUUCUAUUUUGUUGGUUUUAGGUACCAAAGUAAUGGUUAAUAGGAACAGUUGGGGGCAUUCGUAUUUAACUGUCAGAGGUGAAAUUCUUAGAUUUGUUAAAGACGAACUACUGCGAAAGCAUUUGCCAAGGAUGUUUUCAUUAAUCAAGAAC